rnacentral:rRNA from 1 species
GAAACGACUGCUAAUACCGCAUAAGCCCACGACCCGGCAUCGGGUUGAGGGAAAAGGAGCAAUCCGUUUUGAGAUGGCCUCGCGUCCGAUUAGCUAGUUGGUGAGGUAACGGCCCACCAAGGCGACGAUCGGUAGCCGGACUGAGAGGUUGAACGGCCACAUUGGGACUGAGACACGGCCCAGACUCCUACGGGAGGCAGCAGUGGGGAAUAUUGCACAACGGGGGAAACCCUGAUGCAGCGACGCCGCGUGGAGGAAGAAGGUCUUCGGAUUGUAAACUCCUGUUGUUGAGGAAGAUAAUGACGGUACUCAACAAGGAAGUGACGGCUAACUACGUGCCAGCAGCCGCGGUAAAACGUAGGUCACAAGCGUUGUCCGGAAUUACUGGGUGUAAAGGGAGCGCAGGCGGGAAGACAAGUUGGAAGUGAAAUCCAUGGGCUCAACCCAUGAACUGCUUUCAAAACUGUUUUUCUUGAGUAGUGCAGAGGUAGGCGGAAUUCCCGGUGUAGCGGUGGAAUGCGCAGAUAUCGGGAGGAACACCAGUGGCGAAGGCGGCCUACUGGGCACCAACUGACGCUGAGGCUCGAAAGUGUGGGUAGCAAACAGGAUUAGAUACCCUGGUAGUCCACACUGUAAACGAUGAUUACUAGGUGUUGGAGGAUUGACCCCUUCAGUGCC